rnacentral:rRNA from 1 species
AUGAAUAAUCAAGGGAGCAAUGUUAAAAAAUUCCUUCAUGCUAAUGGACAUGUGGUUCUUGAAAGAGUGGAUAACAACUAUAAUCUAAGAUCUUUCACUCAAAAAGAGAUAGAAGACAUCACUGGUGGGUAUAGAAUUGUGCUGGGAGAAGGGGGCUUCGGUAAGGUUUACAAAGGAAAACUCGAUAAUCAUCGUCCAGUCGCAGUAAAGAUAUACAAAAAUGGAACCAAGAAAGAAGAGUUUGCCAAAGAGGUGAUAGUGCAUUCCCAGAUAAAUCACAAGAAUGUUGUCAGACUGUUUGGUUGCUGCACAGAGGUAAAUGCUCUUACAAUUGUUAUGGAGUUUGUAUGCAAUGGCAACCUCUACAACAUCCUUCACUGCUGCAGCAGCAAUGGUAAUGGUUCUAUACCCUUCCCUUUGGACAAGCGUUUGGACAUUGCCAUUGAGUCAGCUGAAGCAUUAUCAUGCAUGCAUUCAAUGUACAGUCCUAUUCUUCAUGGUGACAUUAAACCUGCUAACAUACUACUAGAUGAAAAUCUCCGGCCAAAGAUAUCGGAUUUUGGGAUAGCAAGAUUGCUUGCUGCUGAUGAGACACAACAUACCAGAUAUGUCAUUGGUUGCAUAGGUUACAUGGACCCUUUGUUUUGUCAGAGUGGGAGACUAACACCAAAGAAUGAUGUAUACAGUUUUGGAGUCGUUUUGCUGGAAAUCAUCACCCGAAAGAAAGCUGUGGAUGGGAACAUCAUCCUUGCUCAAACUUCUGCUGAAGCCCUGAGAAAAGGGAAAAAGAUGAGACAACUGUUUGAUGUGGAAAUUGCGAAUGACAAAAAGAACAUGAAAUUUCUUGAAGAUGUUGCAAAACUAGCAGCUGAGUGCUUAAAAAUGGAGGGCAAAAUGCGUCCUGAAAUGGUUGAAGUAGCGGAUAGACUUAGAACAAUUAGAAAAGCUUACCACCAGCGCAAGGGCAGAAGUUCUGCAGUUACCACUGCCACUGUCAACAACACUGACGGAAUUCCACCAUCAGUGGUACCAACCAUUUUCAUGGCUGAACUGAAGGAAAUAACUAGGAACUUUAGCAAUGAUGCUCUAAUAGGAGAGGGCUCAAACAAUAAAGUUUUUUUCGGAGUGCUGAAAGAUGGACAUAAAUCUGCGAUCAAGAAGCCUAGGCGGCCUAGUACAAAAAAUAACUUUUUGCGGGUUCCGAUGGUCUCAAGAUUCAAACAUGAAAUGUUAUCUAGCUUCUUGGAUACUGUGUUGAAGGAGACAACCACAUUCUUGCUUGUGAGUAUGCAUCCAGGGGAUCGUUGUACGAUAUUCUUCAUGGUAAGAAGAAUGUCAGGGGAGCCGAACCAGGACCGGUUCUAUCCUGGGCGCAGCGUGUGA